GUGCCCUUUCUGAGGUGCAGACAGAGGCCUCUGGCCCCACAGUAGGGAAGGUCUCAGAGUCUCUCACGCUUCCCUGCCCCAUCUCUGGUGGACCCAUCAGCGACAGCAGCUACGCUUGGGACUGGAUUGGUCAGGCUCCUGGCAGAGAGCUGCAGCGUAUAGUGUUGCAGUAUCCUUUCACGGGACUCCAGCACAUUGCUUCCUCCUUCCAGCCCCGAGUCACCAGCUCUGCAGACCCCGCCAGGAACCAGCUGUCGCUGGAAGUGCUCUCGCCAUCAGCUGCAGACACGGCCACCUAUUUCUGCAGCACCAGAGAUCUGGAAAAGGGCACAGUGCUUGAAACACAGGCAGGGCCGUGGCAGAAGUGGAAGGAGGGGGAUUAA